UACAUAUAUGUUAUUUACCGGCUGCGAGGUCCGGAUGAGAAAAACUGUGCCCGAGGUCUUGAAAACGGCCCGAGCCCGAAGGGCGAGGGACGGUUUCAAGAGCGAGGGCACAGUUUUCCUCAUCCGGACCGACGCUGCCGGUAAAUAACUUGUUUAUU